UUGAUCCUGAAAGACUCUUGUUGAGCAGUGAGGACGAUUCUGUUCACGAUGACCUUUGACCCUGUAAACAGCUCAGACUGACACUCAGUCAACCAGUCAGACCGCAUACUUUGAUGGUGACAUUGAGGACGCACCCUCUCUAAUGAAGGACAGCAAGCUGCGUCACUUCACUCCGUCUGAUGGAAGCUGAAGUGAAGCACGGAGCUCCUUUUCUACACGGACCUGCUGAGGACAGAAGAGAGCUGCUCACUGAGGAAGUUCAUGUCUACAAGCUCAACUUCUGGACUCUGAAGGAGAUCAAGAGGAGAAACACCACAGCUCCACCUGCUGGAAGACGAGAGAUGACAUUUAUCUUGUAAAACAGGACGAGCAUUUAAAAUGACGUUAACAUCGUUUAAAGAAGGAAAAAAAAAGUUUGUCUUUCACUAGAAGUCUUUAACAGAUGCACAGCUGAGGGGGACAAUCUGUCCACAGGACGACUAGCAGCGUGUCCUCCACAUAUCUGUCCUUUAUGGAAGAGCAAGAAGAAAGAACUGUUGCAAAUAUUGCUGUUCAGUAUUCGCAGUGUGCUGAUAUUUCUUUGUUCCUGAUUUCUUGCAGAGCGACUCUCACACACACAAACACACACAGAAUAAUACACAAUGAGGGAGAUUCACAUCUGCAUUGUGAUGGAUGCACCACUGUGGUCACACGUCCUUCAGCCUUUAACCCUCAUUACAGGACGAGCAUUUUAAAGAAGGAAAAGGGAAGUUUGUCUUCCUCCAGAAGUCUAAACUUUAACAGA